CUCCCCCAAGAGUUCACAUCGACGGGGAGGUUUGGCACCUCGAUGUCGGCUCGUCACAUCCUGGGGCUGGAGAAGGUCCCAAGGGUUGGGCUGUUCGCCCAUUAAAGUGGCACGUGAGCUGGGUUCAGAACGUCGCAAGACAGUUCGGUCCUUAUCCGCUGUGGGCGCAGGAGAUUUGAGGGGGGCUGCUCUUAGUACGAGAGGACCAGAGCGGACGAACCUCUGGUGUACCAGUUGUGCCGUCAGGCGCACCGCUGGGUAGCCAUGUUCGGAAGGGAUAAGCGCUGAAAGCAUAUAAGCGCGAAGCCCGCCCCAAGAUAAGAUCUCCCUUCCCGUCGUAAGACGGGACUGAAGGCUCCUCGUAGACUACGAGGUUGAUAGGCCACAGGUGUAAGCUCAGUAAUGGGUUUAGCCGAGUGGUACUAAUCAGCCGUGAGUCUUGACCAAAU
rnacentral:rRNA from 1 species